rnacentral:rRNA from 1 species
CCCGAAGUAUCCUGAAUCUUUCGCAUUGUUAAUCAUACAAGUGCAUAUAAUAAACAUAGAAAAUCAAUGAUAAUCAUGCUAUUAUAUAAUUUUAAAAAAAUUAACGCACUGUAUUCAUAUAAAUCUAUCAACACUUUAUCAAAUUAAUGACAUUUAUUUUAUGUUAAAUUGCAAGCAAAAUAAUUUAAAUAAACUAUAAGUCAUAUUUUAUGAUAAAUUUGGUUUAUGUUAAUAGAUUACAAUGUCCUUAUAUGGAAAAAAUGCACACUAUUAUUAUAAUAUUAUUUAAAUAUUACAAUUUUAAUGAUGAAUUUUCCAUAACGGAUAUUCAGGUUCAUCGGGC